CCUACGGGGGGCAGCAGUGGGGAAUAUUGCACAAUGGGGGAAACCCUGAUGCAGCGACGCCGCGUGAACGAUGAAGUAUUUCGGUAUGUAAAGCUCUAUCAGCAGGGAAGAAAAUGACGGUACCUGACUAAGAAGCCCCGGCUAACUACGUGCCAGCAGCCGCGGUAAUACGUAGGGGGCAAGCGUUAUCCGGAUUUACUGGGUGUAAAGGGAGCGUAGACGGCGGUGCAAGCCAGAUGUGAAAGCCCGGGGCUCAACCCCGGGACUGCAUUUGGAACUGUGCUGCUGGAGUGCAGGAGAGGUAAGUGGAAUUCCUAGUGUAGCGGUGAAAUGCGUAGAUAUUAGGAGGAACACCAGUGGCGAAGGCGGCUUACUGGACUGUAACUGACGUUGAGGCUCGAAAGCGUGGGGAGCAAACAGGAUUAGAUACCCGUGUAGUC
rnacentral:rRNA from 1 species